UAGGGUGAUCAUUUCAUAGUGUUUAUCACAGCAUAAUUUUAUAAUGAGACAGCAUAUUUUCCAAAUACCAUCAUUGUCACCAAACUCCUGCAAGGCACAGUCAUCUCAUCUGGGGACCGUCUUCUCCUCAGGCGUCCCACCCCAGUGCUUGCCAUAUAGUAGGAGACAUGCAAAUACCGUCCUCCCUCUGCUGAUGAAAACCAGCCCAGCCCUGACCCUGCAGCUCUGGGAGAGGAGCCCCUGCCUGGGAUUCCCAGGAGUUUCCACUUGGUGACCAGCACUGAACACAGACCACCAACCAUGGAGUUCGGGCCGAGCUGGGUUUUCCUUGUUGCUCUUUUAAAAGGUGUCCAGUGUGAGGUGCAGCUGGUGGAGUCUGGGGGAGGCUUGGUCCAGCCUGGGGGGGGGUCCCUGAGACUCUCCUGUGCAGCCUCUGGAUUCACCUUCAGUGACGACUACAUGGAGUGGGUCCGCCAGGCUCCAGGAAAGGGGCUGGAGUGGGUUGGACAAAUUAAUCCUAAUGGGGGUACCACAUUCCUCAUGGAUUCCGUGAAGGGCCGAUUCACCAUCUCCAGAGACAACGCCAAGAACACGCUUUAUCUGCAAAUUAACAGCCUGAAAAUAGAGGACACGGCCGUGUAUUACUGUACUAGGCACACAAUGAGGGGAGGUCAGUGUGAGCCCAGACACAAACCCCCCUGCAGGGGCGCGCGGGGCCACCAGGGGGCGCUCGGGACCCACUGA